rnacentral:tRNA from 1 species
UUAAGAAGAGUAUUGCGUACGCAAAGUUUUGGUCUUUGAGGUGAAGAUAGUAUCUUCUUCUUGAA